rnacentral:rRNA from 1 species
UACGUAGGGUGCGAGCGUUGUCCGGAAUUAUUGGGCGUAAAGAGCUCGUAGGCGGUUCGGUAAGUCAGGUGUGAAAAUCUCCACGCUCAACGUGGAGGCGCCACCUGAAACUGCCGGUGACUCGAGUCCGGUAGGGGGAGUGGUGGAAUUCCCGGUGUAGCGGUGAAAUGACGCAGAUAGUCAGGGAGGAACACCCGGUGG